UACGGAGGGUGCAAGCGUUAUCCGGAUUCACUGGGUUUAAAGGGUGCGUAGGUGGGCAGGUAAGUCAGUGGUGAAAUCUCCGGGCUUAACCCGGAAACUGCCAUUGAUACUAUCUGUCUUGAAUACCGUGGAGGUGAGCGGAAUAUGUCAUGUAGCGGUGAAGUGCUUAGAUAUGACAUAGAACACCAAUUGCGAAGGCAGCUCACUACACGAAUAUUGACACUGAGGCACGAAAGCGUGGGGAUCAAACAGG
rnacentral:rRNA from 1 species